rnacentral:rRNA from 1 species
AGAGUUUGAUCCUGGCUCAGGACGAACGCUGGCGGCGUGCUUAACACAUGCAAGUCGAACGGGCCUGCUCUUUUUUGGGUGGGUUAGUGGCGAACGGGUGAGUAUCACGUGAGUAACCUGCCCCCUGCUCCUGGAUAACGCUCUGAAAGGGGUGCUAAUACGGGGUGUGCUGGUGCUGCCGCAUGGUGGUGCCGGGAUAGGUUCCCUCUUUUGGGGGGUUCUGGUGGGGGAUGGGCUCGCGGCCUAUCAGCUUGUUGGUGGGGUGAUGGCCUACCAAGGCGGUGACGGGUAGCCGGCCUGAGAGGGUGGACGGCCACACUGGGACUGAGACACGGCCCAGACUCCUGCGGGAGGCAGCAGUGGGGGGUAUUGCGCAAUGGGCGGAAGCCUGACGCAGCGACGCCGCGUGAGGGACGGAGGCCUUCGGGUUGUGAACCUCUUUCGCCGGUGGAGAAGGCGCCCCCGUUUGUGGGGUGCUGACUGUAGCCGGAUAAGAAGCGCCGGCUAACUACGUGCCAGCAGCCGCGGUAAUACGUAGGGCGCGAGCGUUGUCCGGAAUUAUUGGGCGUAAAGAGCUCGUAGGCGGCUGGUCGCGUCUGUCGUGAAAUCCUCUGGCUUAACUGGGGGCUUGCGGUGGGUACGGGCCGGCUUGAGUGCGGUAGGGGAGGCUGGAACUCCUGGUGUAGCGGUGGAAUGCGCAGAUAUCAGGAAGAACACCGGUGGCGAAGGCGGGUCUCUGGGCCGUUACUGACGCUGAGGAGCGAAAGCGUGGGGAGCGAACAGGAUUAGAUACCCUGGUAGUCCACGCCGUAAACGUUGGGCACUAGGUGUGGGGGGCCU